GAAGAAAACGACCUGUCGGUGCUGCGGGCGUGUGCAAGGCUGGGCAAUGCAUUGAAUACGAUGACUUAGAGGUGAGGAGCCGUUGGGUUAUGGAGAAUGUCUUCCAAUACAAGUACCACCGAUGUCUUGCCAAGAAACAGGUCACUAAAAAUUACCUCUGGGAUUGCCAUCACUACUGCAAGAGGAACAAGGUGUGGUACUUCGGGUGUAUCAGACGGCAGCAGA